AAAAACAUGGCUCUUUGAUCAUACAAAUAUAGAGAGUCGAGCCUGCCCAGUGAAAAUUUUUCAACGGCCGCGGUACCCUGACCGUGCGAAGGUAGCAUAAUCAUUUGCCUUAUAAUUGAAGGCUAGUAUGAAUGGUUUGACGAGAACAACAUUGUCUCCUUUUUACUCUCAAGAAUUUAACUUUUAGGUGAAGAGGCCUAAAUUUUAUUGAAGGACAAGAAGACCCUGUCGAGCUUAAAAGAUAUUAUAGAGUCUUAUAUAUUUUUAAAUAAAUUUUCUAUUAAGGUUUUUAGUUGGGGCGACUAAGGAACAAAAAAAGCUUCUUGUUGGUAGCAAACAGUCAUGUUUAGAUCCAGUAAAUAGCUGAUCAAAGGAAUUAGUUACCGCAGGGAUAACAGCAUAAUCUCUCUUGAGAGACCUAAUCGAAAGAGGGGGUUGUGACCUCGAUGUUGGACUAGAAUAUCCUAAAGGUGCAGAAGCCUUUAAGGGUCGGUCUGUUCGACCGUUAAAAUUCUACGUGAUCUGA
rnacentral:rRNA from 1 species